GAUGAAGAACGUAGCGAAAUGCGAUACGUAAUGUGAAUUGCAGAAUUCAGUGAAUCAUCGAAUCUUUGAACGCAUAUUGCGCUCUUUGGUAUUCCGAAGAGCAUGCUUGUUUGAGUAUCAGUAAACACCUCAAAGUCUUUUUUUUUCUUUAGAAAAAACCUUGGACUUUAGCAAUCCCAACUCUUCUUUCAGAAGAGGCGGGUUGCUUGAAAUGCAGGUGCAGCUGGACAUUCUCCUGAGCUAAAAGCAUAUUCAUUUAGUCCCGUCAAACGGAUUAUUACUUUUGCUGCAGCUAACAUAAAGGGAGUUUGACCAUUUUGGCUGACUGAUGCAGGAAUUUCACAAGAGUCUUCAAAACGCUCUUGUUAAACUCGAUCUCAAAUCAAGUAAGACUACCCGCUGAACUUAAGCAUAUCAAUAAGCGGAGGA
rnacentral:misc_RNA from 1 species